rnacentral:rRNA from 1 species
CACGUAGUUAGCCGGGGCUUUCUUCUCAGGUACCGUCACUCCCCCUAGCAGUUACUCUAGAGGACGUUCUUCCCUGGCAACAGAGCUUUACGAUCCGAAAACCUUCAUCACUCACGCGGCGUUGCUCCGUCAGACUUUCGUCCAUUGCGGAAGAUUCCCUACUGCUGCCUCCCGUAGGAGUCUGGGCCGUGUCUCAGUCCCAGUGUGGCCGUUCACCCUCUCAGGUCGGCUACGCAUCGUCGCCUUGGUGAGCCGUUACCUCACCAACCAGCUAAUGCGCCGCAGGCCCAUCCGUAAGUGACAGAUUGCUCCGUCCUUUCCCAAACUCCCCCAUGCGAGGAAUUUGCGUAUCCGGUAUUAGCUACCGUUUCCGGUAGUUAUCCCAGUUCUUACGGGCAGGUUGCCUUACGUGUUACUCACCCGUCGCCGCUAAGCUAAUCAGGAGCAAGCCUCCGAUUAACUCCGCUCGACUUGCUAUGUAUUAGGCACCGCCGCCAGUCGUUCGUUCCUCGUGCCAGGACUAA